ensembl:lncRNA
UCUUAGAGGGCAUUGCCUUGAAUUACAUUUCACCAGAAGGUGCCACUUGAAAGCAUCUAAGCCAAAGCUGAGCCCCUGUUUGCCCUGGAUUUACCCUGUGGCUGCCACGCCAGGCCACCCCUGCUGCUCAUCCUGCAGCUAUAACCAGACAAGCAAGGUGACCUCCAGUUUCCAGAUGGAUCCAACGUAAAAGAUGGUGAAACAGCCUCAGCAUCACGUAUCCAGGUACUGUUCUAUCACCGUCUCUUGUUUUCAAAGCCCAAACACAGAACACGCAUCGCAACUGAGCUCCCCGCAGCGUGACUCUGGGGAAAGAGGCGAGGAGAAAAGCAAAGUGGGAUCUCUGCAGCUGAUGCGGCUGGCUCUUGUUGAGACAUUGGGUCUCUGUGCGGUUUGCUUUCCCCAGCAAAUCAAAGACAACUCCAGUGCUCACUUCAGCAGGACACAUACUACAAUUGGAAUGGUACAGAGAUUGGCGCGACUCCCGCUAAUCCCCUUAAUGGGAGGGGCUGCCCUUGCACUAAGGAGAACACACACGUUCUUGACGCCUUCCCUGGCGGCUCAGAAAGUAAGGAAUCCACCCGCAAUGCAGGAGACCCAGGUUCAGUCCCUGGGCUGGGAAGAUCCCCUGGAGAAGGCAAUGGCAGUCCCGCUCCAAUAGUCUUGCCUGGAGAAUUCCAGGGACAGGGGAGCCUGGCAGGCUACAGUCCGUGGGGUUGCAAAGAGUCAGACAUGACUGAGCGACUUACACUUUCACUUCCAUAUUAAAAAAAGAAAAGGAGAGGAAAACUCCAGCUCGACAGGUGUAAACAAGAAGAAUGGUUUAAAAACCUCAUCUGACACUGAGCCCUGAAUCAGCACCCCAGGGUCCUCACCCACACACGCAGCCCGGCCACUCACACCUGUCGUUGCUGGGUGUGGUUCUCUUGCUCACAGACCUCCGCAUGUUUGCCAUUUUUUCCCAUGCUAGAAGACACAGAACCAUCCUUUAUGUCUUUUCUGGGCUGCUUCCCCAAGAAGAGAAGGGAAUUGUUGGAUCAAAUUCUGGAUAUUCCAGGGGUCAGGCAAUCUCUAUAGACAUGAUUCCUGCCACCUGGCACCUUUCUCUCUGAGAUGGUCACCCCAAUACAGAUGAAUACAAACUAUUGGUGAGAAAUUAAAGGUUUAACCCAAUUAAACAGUGACUGCAUUUUCUUUCUUUCUUUUUGGCUGCAG